ACUAUUUUGGCAGAUAUAGUGCGGUAAAUUUAGAAUUUAUUUAUGUAAAUUUGUUUACAAAUAGUA
rnacentral:tRNA from 1 species